rnacentral:rRNA from 1 species
GACGAACGCUGGCGGCGUGCUUAACACAUGCAAGUCGAACGGAAAGGCCCUGCUGUUGUGGGGUGCUCGAGUGGCGAACGGGUGAGUAACACGUGAGUAACCUGCCCUUUACUUUGGGAUAACUUCAGGAAACUGGGGCUUAUACCGGAUAGGUGCUCCUCCUGCAUGGUGUGGGUUGGAAAGUUUCGGCGGUUGGGGAUGGACUCGCGGCUUAUCAGCUUGUUGGUUGGGUAGUGGCGUACCAAGGCUUUGACGGGUAGCCGGCCUGAGAGGGUGACCGGCCACAUUGGGACUGAGAUACGGCCCAGACUCCUACGGGAGGCAGCAGUGGGGAAUAUUGCACAAUGGGCGGAAGCCUGAUGCAGCAACGCCGCGUGCGGGAUGACGGCCUUCGGGUUGUAAACCGCUUUCGCCUGUGACGAAGCGUGAGUGACGGUAAUGGGUAAAGAAGCACCGGCUAACUACGUG